rnacentral:rRNA from 1 species
AUGGAUGUAACUCCUUUUCUUAGACAAGAAAUCAAUGACGUAUCUAAGGAUAGCAUCGCUACUCGUGCAGCAGCCGCGUAGACGGGGGAUGCAAGCGUAUCGGAAUUAUUGGGCGUAAAGCGUCUGUAGGUGGCUAAAUAAGUCUGGUGUUAAAUACUGAAGCUCAACUUCAGACCUGCAUCAGAAACUAUUUAGCUUGAGUACGUUAGAGGCAGGGGGAAUUCCCAGUGUAGCGGUGAAAUGCGUAGAUAUUGGGAGGAACACCAACGGCGAAGGCACCCUGCUGGGCCGAUACUGACACUCAAGGACGAAAGCUAGGGGAGCGAAUGGGAUUAGAUACCCCAGUAGUCCUAGCUGUCAACGAUGGAGGCUAAACGUUGUCCAUUUGGCCAGCGUUGAAGUUAACGCGUUAAGCCUCCCGCCUGGGGAGUACGCUCGCAAGGGUGAAACUCAAAGGAAUUGACGGGGACCCGCACAAGCGGUGGAGCAUGUGGUUUAAUUCGAUGCAACGCGAAGAACCUUACCAGGGCUUGACAUGCCGCGAAUCGCUAUGAAAAUAGUGGAGCCGAAAGGCGCGGUCACAGGUGGUGCAUGGCUGUCGUCAGCUCGUGUCGUGAGAUGUUGGGUUAAGUUCCGCAACGAGCGCAACCCUUAUCCCCAGUUACCUUUUUAGGAACCUGUGGAGACUGCCGGUGUUAAGCCGGAGGAAGGUGAGGACGACGUCAAGUCAUCAUGCCCCUUACGCCCUGGGCUACUCACGUGCUACAAUGGCUAGGACAAUGGGAUGCUACCCUGCGAGGGCGAGCUAACCCCAAAAACCUAGUCUUAGUUCGGAUUGUAGGCUGCAACUCGCCUACAUGAAGCCGGAAUCGCUAGUAAUCGCUGGUCAGCAAUACAGCGGUGAAUACGUUCUCGGGUCUUGUACACACCGCCCGUCACACCAUGGAAAUUGGCUAUGCCCAAAAUCGUCACCCUAACCUU